rnacentral:rRNA from 1 species
UGGGGAAUAUUGCACAAUGGGCGCAAGCCUGAUGCAGCCAUGCCGCGUGUAUGAAGAAGGCCUUCGGGUUGUAAAGUACUUUCAGCGGGGAGGAAGGGAGUAAAGUUAAUACCUUUGCUCAUUGACGUUACCCGCAGAAGAAGCACCGGCUAACUCCGUGCCAGCAGCCGCGGUAAUACGGAGGGUGCAAGCGUUAAUCGGAAUUACUGGGCGUAAAGCGCACGCAGGCGGUUUGUUAAGUCAGAUGUGAAAUCCUCGGGCUCAACCUGGGAACUGCAUCUGAUACUGGCAAGCUUGAGUCUUGUAGAGGGGGGUAGAAUUCCAGGUGUAGCGGUGAAAUGCGUAGAGAUCUGGAGGAAUACCGGUGGCGAAGGCGGCCCCCUGGACGAAGACUGACGCUCAGGUGCGAAAGCGUGGGGAGCAAACAGG